AAUCGAAUGCACGGAACGAUAGAGAUAUCUAGUUUAAAUUACAUUAGCCAUUAACAAUUAGCCAUUAAGUAAUCGAACCGGGUUGUAUACCAGCUUUGUUAUUAGCUCUUUUUGUCAAAUCUACAAAACUAUAUUCUUCCUAGUUGGCUUGUUUGCUGUUCAUUAUAUAAUACUGUAAGCUUAAGAUGGCAAGAAGUGGAAGGAUAAUAUUAUCAAUCUUCGUAUUAUCAAUAUUAAUUGUAAUACAAGAAAUGCCCACUCUGAUUGAAGCCAGUUCUUCAACAACUAUAUCUACCGAAGAAACAACUUCUGGUGAUGAUAUGAUCUUUAGUUCUAUCGAUAGUUCAACAGAAGUUACCACCACUUUGAACAAAAAUACAAGCCCGCCAGUUGGUGGAUUGGUGGGUGUCGUAGCCGUUGUAGGUUGUGCUGUUCUUGGUGUGUGUCUUUGGAACUUGUAAAUGUUUCAACCCUUGUUAAAAGAGAAACCCAGACCAGCCGCUUCCGUUUGCCUUUAGUUUCCUAAUUACAUAUUUACUAUGUUUAAAAUCUAUUUGAUUUGUGUUUCUUGUUGUCAGUAUCUGAAACUAUUGUAAUGCAAUCUGAAUACAAAUAUAAACAAAUGACAACAGCUGUCCAUUUUAGUACUUUAAUUAUUUUAUAUAUAUAUAGAACCCCGAACCUACCAACAUCCCCCGACCAGGCUUAUGAAAGUCUGACUUCAUCAAUGUCAGCAUCUUAUGAGAAUAUUGCUGCAAGUCAAACAGUCCCAGAGCAUAGCAACGAAGGUCUAGCCUUGAUAUUGGAUAAAGAAAAUGUCUAAAUAUUUUACUAAUUAACCCUAUGACUUCAUUCUGUAAAUUUCAAAUAAUAUACUUUUAUGGUUUCAUUAGUGGAUUUAGAAGUAACUAGGUACGGUAUUUGGAAUAUAAUAAUCUGGUUUAUAUAGUAUCAUUUUAUGACACCGUUAUAUGAUGUUGAUUCUAUGCGGCAAUAUUAUUUUUAAAAUGGCUGACACCCGUACAAAUUCUUUAAUGCAGUAUUUCUUUUAUUUAUUUUUAUUAAAAGUACUAUAUAAUUUAACAGUGUACAGUUGUUUGAUGUAAUAUUUCUUUUAUUUUGUAUUACGAUUAUAAUCCUAACAAUGUUACAAUUGUUUAAUGUAGUAUUUCUUUUAUUUUAAAUUACGAGAUUAUUAUUUGUCUUUCGCUUAUGGUUUAUUAUAAGUACUGUAUACUCCUAACAGUG